GUGGGGAAUAUUGCACAAUGGGCGCAAGCCUGAUGCAGCCAUGCCGCGUGUGUGAAGAAGGCCUUAGGGUUGUAAAGCACUUUCAGCGAGGAGGAAGGGUUCAGUGUUAAUAGCACUGUUCAUUGACGUUACUCGCAGAAGAAGCACCGGCUAACUCCGUGCCAGCAGCCGCGGUAAUACGGAGGGUGCAAGCGUUAAUCGGAAUUACUGGGCGUAAAGCGCACGCAGGCGGUUUGUUAAGUCAGAUGUGAAAUCCCCGAGCUUAACUUGGGAACUGCAUUUGAAACUGGCAAGCUAGAGUCUUGUAGAGGGGGGUAGAAUUCCAGGUGUAGCGGUGAAAUGCGUAGAGAUCUGGAGGAAUACCGGUGGCGAAGGCGGCCCCCUGGACAAAGACUGACGCUCAGGUGCGAAAGCGUGGGGAGCAAACAGGAUUAGAAACCCCUGUAGUCC
rnacentral:rRNA from 1 species